UACGAAGGGUGCAAACGUUGCUCGGAAUUAUUGGGCGUAAAGCGCACGUAGGCGGCUUGGCAAGUCGGAUGUGAAAUCCCUCGGCUCAACCAAGGAAGUGCAUCCGAAACUGCUGAGCUUGAGUACUUAAGAGGAUCGCGGAAUUCCCGGUGUAGAGGUGAAAUUCGUAGAUAUCUGGAGGAACACCGGUGGCGAAGGCGGCAUCCUGGACCGGCAUUGACGCUGAGGCGCGAAAGCUAGGGGAGCAAACAGG
rnacentral:rRNA from 1 species